UACGAAGGGGGCUAGCGUUGCUCGGAAUUACUGGGCGUAAAGCGCACGUAGGCGGCUUGUUAAGUCAGGGGUGAAAUCCUGGAGCUCAACUCCAGAACUGCCUUUGAUACUGGCGAGCUUGAGUUCGGGAGAGGUGAGUGGAACUGCGAGUGUAGCGGUGGAAUGCGCAGAUAUCAGGAGGAACACCAAUAGCGAAGGCAGCUCGCUGGGACGGUACUGACGCUAAGGCGCGAAAGCGUGGGUAGCAAACAGG
rnacentral:rRNA from 1 species